rnacentral:rRNA from 1 species
GAGUGGCGAACGGGUGAGUAACACGUGGGUAACCUGCCCAGAAGUAGGGGAUAACACCUGGAAACAGAUGCUAAUACCGUAUAACAGAGAAAACCGCAUGGUUUUCUUUUAAAAGAUGGCUCUGCUAUCACUUCUGGAUGGACCCGCGGCGUAUUAGCUAGUUGGUGAGGUAAAGGCUCACCAAGGCAGUGAUACGUAGCCGACCUGAGAGGGUAAUCGGCCACAUUGGGACUGAGACACGGCCCAGACUCCUACGGGAGGCAGCAGUAGGGAAUCUUCCACAAUGGACGCAAGUCUGAUGGAGCAACGCCGCGUGAGUGAAGAAGGGUUUCGGCUCGUAAAGCUCUGUUGUUAAAGAAGAACGUGGGUAAGAGUAACUGUUUACCCAGUGACGGUAUUUAACCAGAAAGCCACGGCUAACUACGUGCCAGCAGCCGCGGUAAUACGUAGGUGGCAAGCGUUAUCCGGAUUUAUUGGGCGUAAAGCGAGCGCAGGCGGUCUUUUAAGUCUAAUGUGAAAGCCUNUCGGCUCAACCGAAGAAGUGCAUUGGAAACUGGGAGACUUGAGUGCAGAAGAGGACAGUGGAACUCCAUGUGUAGCGGUGAAAUGCGUAGAUAUAUGGAAGAACACCAGUGGCGAAGGCGGCUGUCUGGUCUGCAACUGACGCUGAGGCUCGAAAGCAUGGGUAGCGAACAGGAUUAGAUACCCUGGUAGUCCAUGCCGUAAACGAUGAUUACUAAGUGUUGGAGGGUUUCCGCCCUUCAGUGCUGCAGCUAACGCAUUAAGUAAUCCGCCUGGGGAGUACGACCGCAAGGUUGAAACUCAAAAGAAUUGACGGGGGCCCGCACAAGCGGUGGAGCAUGUGGUUUAAUUCGAAGCUACGCGAAGAACCUUACCAGGUCUUGACAUCUUCUGACAGUCUAAGAGAUUAGAGGUUCCCUUCGGGGACAGAAUGACAGGUGGUGCAUGGUUGUCGUCAGCUCGUGUCGUGAGAUGUUGGGUUAAGUCCCGCAACGAGCGCAACCCUUAUUACUAGUUGCCAGCAUUAAGUUGGGCACUCUAGUGAGACUGCCGGUGACAAACCGGAGGAAGGUGGGGACGACGUCAAAUCAUCAUGCCCCUUAUGACCUGGGCUACACACGUGCUACAAUGGAUGGUACAACGAGUCGCGAGACCGCGAGGUUAAGCUAAUCUCUUAAAACCAUUCUCAGUUCGGACUGUAGGCUGCAACUCGCCUACACGAAGUCGGAAUCGCUAGUAAUCGCGGAUCAGCAUGCCGCGGUGAAUACGUUCCCGGGCCUUGUACACACCGCCCGUCACACCAUGAGAGUUUGUAACACCCAAAGCCGGUGGGGUA